AUUGAACGCUGGCGGCAGGCUUAACACAUGCAAGUCGAGCGGUAACAGAAGAAGGCUUGCUUUCUUGCUGACGAGCGGCGGACGGGUGAGUAAUGCCUGGGAAAUUGCCCUGAUGUGGGGGAUAACCAUUGGAAACGAUGGCUAAUACCGCAUGAUGUCUACGGACCAAAGAGGGGGACCUUCGGGCCUCUCGCGUCAGGAUAUGCCCAGGUGGGAUUAGCUAGUUGGUGAGGUAAUGGCUCACCAAGGCGACGAUCCCUAGCUGGUCUGAGAGGAUGAUCAGCCACACUGGAACUGAGACACGGUCCAGACUCCUACGGGAGGCAGCAGUGGGGAAUAUUGCACAAUGGGCGCAAGCCUGAUGCAGCCAUGCCGCGUGUAUGAAGAAGCCUUCGGGUUGUAAAGUACUUUCAGUCGUGAGGAAGGGGAUAUCGUUAAUAGCGGUAUGCUUUGACGUUAGCGACAGAAGAAGCACCGGCUAACUCCGUGC
rnacentral:rRNA from 1 species